GCGCCAGUCUUAAACUUUGGGACAGAGAUCGGUGCAAGUGUGUAUUCCUAAUAAAGUAGAAUUGAUGUCGCGUAAUUCCGACACGUGUGAGUAGUACAACCGUAAUAAUAGUCGUACGUGGGGCACAUCGUAACACGCUCGGCUGUAUGGCGCGGUGAAAGGAUAUUAAUUUGUAAAAAUUUACGGGAUAUAUCGUGCUGGAUUAUUCGAUUACAAAUUGAGAUUUACAUAGUAAUCGUGUGUCUAUUCACUAGGAGAAAUUAUAUAAUAUAUAUAUAUAUACUCACUUGAAAGGGAAGCCAGAGAAUGAGAAACGCGCCGACCGUGACUGCCAAUGUUUGGCCGUAACGCGGCAAUGCCAAGGUCUGCGUUUGAUGCCUGAAUGACAAUUCUACCGUAUAAAUCGCACGUGCGUGUGCACGUGCCACCAGAUACACGUACAUGUAGCAACCGAGAAGAACGAGAGCACUGGGUGCCCACACUGCCACCACCAGGAACACCCUUACUGGUGGGAGAACCGCUGCGCCGAAUCUGCAGUUGCCACUGUGAACAGAAAGCAAAUUGAUUUCACUCGUUAGCCAAUCGUUAUGCAACCGUGAGGAUGAUUCGAAUAUCGAUUGAUUGACUCGGUGCUUGCUAAUUUACACGUGUGUCAGAAAAUUCCGAUUACACCAUAAUUGAUAAUUAUAAAAAUAAUAGAUAAAAGAUAAAACGAAUGAAGUUUCAUUAAAAUCUCAUUACAAUUUAGAAAUAUUGAUUUUAAAGACAUAAACUAAGAGAUAAUUACCACGAAUCGUUUAAUAAGAAUAAGAUGAUUUUCUUGAUACUUAACUCGAACACGUUCCAUGAUGAUAGAACUAUAUUAAUUUCUUAAAUUUUCCUUAUUUUAUAUGGAGACAGGAGAAGAUCACAGGCUAUUAUAAAAGAUGAGUCGAAACUAAAAGAUGGCUGGAAACACUGUCUUAAAAUCACAAAGUCCACAAAUUGAUUCAUCAAAGGCGAGAGACCGACAGCGAUCGCGUAGAUCCAAAACACGGCGAUGUACUUCUCGAUGCUGCUGUGAGUGAUGAUGUUCUUGUACCUGAGAGGUUGUGCAAGCGACGUUAAUCGGUCCACGGCAAUCGCCACGGUCACCAGCACGCUUACGCUGCAUAGCGCAAUCACGAUGCAGUAUGGCACGAUGCACAACGUGGAAACGCCAUUUUCCGGUAAACCGGACAACUCGAGCUGCAUCCCAAAAGGCAUGAAUACACCGACCUGCGUGCAAAUAAUAACGGAUUUAGAUAUGUCGGUGAAUUAGAGACGAGAAACGCCUCGACUUGGAAACUCUUGAUAAACAACAGACAUUCGGCUUUAUGAUAUAAUAACGUACGCAUUCCAAAGCGUCCGUGUUAUAUGGAUUUUCGGUCGAGGCGUUAGUUGCAAGGAGGUACAAAGUUGUAUCGAUCGUGUGAAUAUCGCGAUCAUAAAGCAAAUCGAUUCGAAUUGUAUAUUGGGUAUUAGCGAAGUGUGCUUUACUUUGGGUAAUUAAUCGGCUAUAGAAUGUGUACACAGUGCUUCCAAGUUGAACGAUCAAAUUGUUCUGAUGGAGUUUACGAUCAAAUGUAAGGAACAAUGUUAUAUCAAUACAAGUUUCAUUUGUGCUGGUUCAGAGUGACCUGAAUCUCUUAUUAAAGCAUCUAUGAUAUAAUGUUUAAGAUUUUAAUAUUUACGUUAUACAUAUUACAAAAGAAUGAUAAAAAUGAUUCUUGUCGAUCUUCUUUAAAAAAAUAGAAAAAUAUUUUAAUUUUUAAUUAGAUUAAAUAAUAAAUAUUAAAUUGUAAUAAAAUCUUAUAAAAUCAUGAAA